rnacentral:rRNA from 1 species
CAGCAGCCGCGGGAAAACAGAGGGUGCGAGCGUUAAUCGGAUUUACUGGGCGUAAAGCGUGCGUAGGCGGCUUCUUAAGUCGGAUGUGAAAUCCCUGAGCUUAACUUAGGAAUUGCAUUCGAUACUGGGAAGCUAGAGUAUGGGAGAGGAUGGUAGAAUUCCAGGUGUAGCGGUGAAAUGCGUAGAGAUCUGGAGGAAUACCGAUGGCGAAGGCAGCUAUCUGGCCUAAUACUGACGCUGAGGUACGAAAGCAUGGGGAGCAAACAGGAUUAGAUACCCCCGUAGUCCCUGUCUCUUAUAC